CAGCGGGUGUAAGCCCCGCCCGGCAACCGCUCCAAGCCGGAAAGCAACCGGAGCAAUCGUGGAGGUAACGAAGCGGUUGAAGCCUUCGGUGAAGCGGGUCACGAAAUACGGUGACAGCACGAGUUUGCAGGCCGUAACGCGA
rfam:Candidatus Burkholderia crenata strain TZHbot9 BCREchr_ctg24, whole genome shotgun sequence.